GAUGAACGCUGGCGGCGUGCCUAAUACAUGCAAGUCGAGCGGAGCGUGGAGGGGUGAGAAUCACGUGUAUAACCUCCUCUAAGACUGGGAUAACUUCGGGAAACCGGAGCUAAUCCGGCAUCUUAUCCAUGGAUCCACUCUGCAUUAGAUAGUUGGUAAGGUAACGGCUUACCAAGGCAAUGAUGCAUAGGCGCCCUGAGAGGGUGAUCGGCCACACUGGAACUGAGACACGGUCCAGACUCCUACGGGAGGCAGCAGUAGGGAAUCUUCCGCAAUGGGCGAAAGCCUGACGGAGCAACGCCGCGUGAAUGAUGAAGGUCUUCGGAUCGUAAAACUCUGGUAUCAGGGAAGCGGUACCUAAUCAGAAAGCCACGGCUAACUACGUGCCAGCAGCCGCGGUAAUUC
rnacentral:rRNA from 1 species